rnacentral:rRNA from 1 species
AACGAACGCUGGCGGCGUGCUUAACACAUGCAAGUCGAGCGCGAAAGGGAGGGGCAACUCUCCCGAGUAGAGCGGCGCACGGGUGAGUAACGCGUGGGUAACCUACCCCUCGGCGGGGGAUAACUACUCGAAAGGGUGGCUAAUACCGCAUGAGACCACGGGGUCUUCGGGCUCCGGGGCCAAAGGUUGCGUCGGCUUGCCGGCGCCGUCACCGGGGGAUGGGCCCGCGUCCGAUUAGCCAGUUGGCGAGGUAACGGCUCACCAAGGCUACGAUCGGUAGCUGGUCUGAGAGGAUGAUCAGCCACACUGGAACUGGAACACAGUCCAGACUCCUACGGGAGGCAGCAGUGAGGAAUAUUGCGCAAUGGGGGAAACCCUGACGCAGCAACGCCGCGUGGGUGAAGAAGGCCUUCGGGUCGUAAAGCCCUUUCGGACGGGACGAACGCUUCGCGGUGACAAGCCGUGAAGUCUGACGGUACCGUAGGAAGAAGCACCGGCUAACUCCGUGCCAGCAGCCGCCGUAA